rnacentral:lncRNA from 1 species
AAGUCCUCGAUGAGGAUUAGGGUCCUCAUGCCUACGUAUCGUCAUAGUGCAAUGAGGAAUUCAGAGCUUCGUAGUUCAAGGAACUAGAGGCGGGAUAUGAAAAGAAUUGUGAUAAAGGUAUGGUCUGAACCAAAGAAUUGAGUGUUUUGAACUCCAACAAGGGUGAAAAGAUGAACCAAAGAGUAACAUGGUUAUUACCAAUACGCGGGCUAGUAGGGACGCCGCUAUAGGGUAAAACCGAAAAGACGAAGAAAUAAGUGUUUGGGUACAGUCCCAAACAUCUCUUGGUACACAAGGUGAAGCAAG